UAUAUAUUUAUUUGAUAAAUAUAUAUUUAUUUGUUUUUAGUAAAAAGGAAAAGGUUUGAAAAGUUAAAAAGGCCAUUCAGUAUCACAAAGAGAACGAUAAAGUGUCAGAAAACAUUUUUAAGGUUGUAAAACUCUGCAUUAAACAUCCAGCUGCAAACUACUUUACUCAGAUUAACAAUGUUGUUUAUUUUGGGUAAAUUGUAAAGGAAUAUGUUUUAACUUCUCAAAGCAACAAUACAUCAAAAUGGACAUAAAACAGAAGAUUAUACAAAGAUUCAAUGCACAACUGGGAUCUGACAUAAAAAAUCUUCAAGGAAUCUAUGAUUUCCAUGAAAAUCUCAAAGCAGAAAAAAAUGAGAUUGAAAAAUCUCUAUCAAUGGCAUCAACCACUGCUCCUUCUAAAGUAAAAGCAGUAAUUGAAAAUGUGGAAUAUAUCAAAGGUAAAGCUGAUCAUUUGCAGGAAGUCUCUACAAAUUUCAGCAAGAAGAUUAAAGAGGCAUUUGGUGAAAAUGACAAAAAUUUGGAGUUGCAAGAAAUUAUUGAUAAGAUUGGUCAGUUAGAUAAAUCAUUGUCCUACCUAUACUUCAUAAAAUAUAUUGAAAAUAUUAGUGAUGAAAUGGAGACAUUUUUGUCAUCAGGUGAUGAUGAUUCAAUGAUAACGUUAUACGCAAGCUUGACAGAAAUCAGCUGUCAAUUGCAAACAUCUGUAUGUUACCAUCUGGUUAAUUAUGUGCACGAAACACUACACUUUUGGCAUAAUCUACUUAAGGAGAAAUUAUCAAAAGAAUACAAUGAUCUUUUGAAGACAUUAAAAUGGCCUUUCUGUGGCACUAAUGUUAAUUCACUCAGUCCACCUUUGCCAGAAGUUAUGACAAGAUUUAAGAUACUCACUGAAUAUCUUUUUCAUCUACAACUACCAGAAGAAAUGAUAAAACCUGUAGUAAAGUCUGCACUGUUAACAGAUUUUGUACCAGUUAGCUUGCCUAUCUCUUUUUUAGUACGUCCACUUAGACAGAGGUUUAUUUACCAUUUCACAGGAUCUAAACUAACAAAUCGCCAGGAUAAACCAGAAUGGUUUUUUACACAGAUAUUAAGGUGGAUUAAAGAUCAUAUACAAUGGGUACAGAAGAAUAUUCAGCCUGUAGCAGAUACUACAGGUUUUGGGCAUUUGGACAUAAAGGCUGAAUUUAUGCGUGCACUAGUUCAAUUAGCCGUCGAGAAGCUUCAUUCCGAAUUGCCUAUAGUACAGUAUGAUGACGCUUUGUUCGCACAUUUAGUGGACGAGGCGUUAGGAUUUGAGCGAGAACUACGAGAAACUUUGCUAUAUCCUCCAACACAACCUACCACUGUCUUCGUUCUGACACAAGCACACAUUUUUGUAAAAUGGAUCAACAUAGAGAAGAAGUAUGCAACCGAGAAAAUGGAUGCAAUAUUAAGUUCAAAUACAGCAUGGGAAAGACUGGCAGGGCCUGAUACAGAUGACAUGAAAGUUACUGAAUGCGCAGAUGCUUUUCUCACGCUUCUUACCACAAUUUCUGAUAGAUACAAACAUUUACCACAACCUGGGCAUAGAUUGCAGUUUCUUGAGUUGCAAUUGGAAUUGAUUGACGACUGGAGAGUACGAUUAUUACAACUUUUACAUGAAAAUUAUGAAGAUCCGUUAACGUCGCUCAUGCCGCACAUUCUCAAUACGUUACAUUACGUUGCAACUGUUUUAGAGGAAUGGGGUAUAACAGUUCAUUUCUUACAACUAUAUUUCUUCAAGAAACAAUUUGAAGCUGUAGAAAAUGCUGCAGACAGAGGUAAUGACGUUAGCGAAAGUAUUGGAGAAGUAGAGGGUACAGUGUUUGACGAAGCUGUGGCUCUCUUACGACGAUUAGAGAAAGAAUUAAUAAAUGAAAUCAGCGACUCGGUAGCCCUAGAUGUAAAAGCAAAAAGUAGAGCUUAUAGAACUGAUAAGUGGUUUGCAAUGCAAUCUUCCAAGGAGGUUGCUUCCUUAUCAGUAACAUCAAGUGGCUGUUCCAUGUUUCAAGAGUUGGCCACACGUCUUCAUAUAUUGCAUAAUGCUCUCGCUCUACCGUUGUUCCGUCAAGCUUGGAAGAGUUUAGCUGCUCAAUUUGAUCAAUUUCUCUUUGAAGAAGUUGUACUAGUAAAUCAUUUCAAUAGUGGUGGUGCUGAACAAUUACAAUAUGAUAUCUUAAGAAACUUAUUUCCAUUGUUUGGCUUGUACAUCAGCAAGCCAGAGUCAUUUUUUCCUUUAAUCAGAGAAGCAUGUAUACUUUUAAACAUCUUAGUAGGUUCAGCUAUGUUGCUUCAAGAGGCACUAAAUAAUAAUAAUGAUAAAGCUGCAUUAGCAGAAAUUUUAGCGGACGUCGGCGUGCACAAAAUGUCCCCUGAGCUUGCUCUGAAGGUGAUAGCAACGAGAACAGAUCUUAUCCAUAUGUAGAAAAUUUUCUCUCUGAAUAUAUAUAUGUAAAAAUGAAAUUUAUUAUACAGUACCAUCUAUGUAUCUUCGUAUAAAUAAUGGAAUUCUUAACAUAAUAAUGUUAUACCACCGUUGUCGGCACCUAGUAAAAG